UCAUGACAGCCUGUGAUUCUAAAUAAAGAUUUAAAGAGGAGAGUUCAGCUCUUCGAGUGUUGGUUUGCAUUCCUUAAGCCAGAGGUCAAAAGAAUGCCGCAAGUUUCUGCUGGGAGAGGUAUCCUGCUAACUUCAUCUUCAACAUUUGAAAACCACCGACAGGCUUAUCCAGUAGUUCCUCCCUGCUUCUUCUAUGAUUCAUCUCCUGGUUUUUCCCUAGCCUUGUUCCAAACUGCUGCCUCAGACCCAGGAACUUGUUCUGCUUGGAGAUAACAGGAAGACAGCAUUAUACACCACUGUUGUUUGUUACUAACGAGGAUGCACAACUUAUGCUUUAGAAGGAGGCUGCUGGGAGAAGAGCCUGAAAGCACCGUCUCAGGUGGUGAAAAAAUAACCUACUUUGUAAGGAGCUCUGUGACUUCCUGAACAUUCUCUUUUCUGAGAGGGAGUGAGCCAGACUGGAGGACAGCAUCUCCCAUGGGGCAGGAGAGACGAAUGAAGCAGCAAAUCUGGGGACAUGAUGUGGUCGAGAGUGCCUAGAUGGUGGUGACGUGGCCAAGAGCGGCAGAAGGAGGCGAAGGUGGUGGUGCACGUAGGACAGAGUCUGGGGUCACCUGAGGAGCUGCUGGAACUGAGUGCCCCAUGCACAGUGCCGUAUGAACAGCUCUCAAGCACAAAGAGCUGCUUGGUUUAUGGAUGGCAGUUCCAGGUGAAUGGAUAACAUACCAUCUGGAAGUCCACUACUCUGAAUGACGAAGGUUGCCUGUACUUUUCCACCAUGUGAUUAUAUGACCAGACUUACAGAUACAAGCACUGGAAACAGAUGAUUCCUCAGCCAACCGUGGUGGGGAGUAACUGCAGUGACGCGGCUCUCGGGCACGGCUUCCUGAGCAGCAGCCUCCCUGAAGGUACAGGCGUGUCUCCUACGAGGUACCUGGGAGGAAAAAUACCACAUCUGCAUAUGAUGGAGCAAUUGAUGGCAGAUCAGUGCCCCCAGGGAAAGCUAGACAAGCACACAAGCCAUAUGUAAAGGCAUCCAAGAGCUGUAACCGCAAGAAGGACAAAGUGG